UUUUUGUGUAGAAUGCUUUUUAAGUUUUUUGCCAGUUUAGCGGCUAUUGUGGUCAGGUAAAUAGUGUGUGCUUAACAAGGAGUGGGGAGGCGAAUGUUUAAGGAUUGCGACGCCCGAUCGAUGGCAGUUCGCUUUUGGCAACCGAUCGAUUAUUACCAUCAAGAUGUAACAGUGAUUUUAAAGUCAGUGUGUUCAAAAUCAGUCAAGUUUAUAACUGCAUAGAAGUAGCAAAUCUCCAUCAAAAUUAAUCUGAAGUAAUGAAAUAUGAUUCUCAAUUCAAGCCGUUGAAUUUUCGAAAAGCUAGACGUAGCAAGGAGUAUCCAGACCACACAGAACGAACCAAACCAAUACCAAUACAUCGGCAAACGAAAACAGUUUCAACGCGUCGCCAUUACACGUCAAAAAUAGAAGAAAAAUUUGGAAUUUCAAAAAUGGAACAAUAACCUCUAACUCGGCCAUGGACGCCGUUCAGUCAAAAAGACAAAACCAACCAGUAUUUACUCACGAUCCGGUGGCCGACACUUCGCUGGUGAAAUUCUUUUACCGAUACCGAUAUGAGUAUCGAUUGCAAUCGGUUUUGAAUCGAUUCGAGUUUUUAGGAUUCGAUGUAUGGUGAUUUGUGAUUUGAUUAUUUUAUUGUGAUUAUUUGGUUUGAACGUGUACUUAAGCUGUGAAUUUGUAAAAUUCAAACAUUCGGUUUUGCUUGCUAUUCCGCUGUUUAAAAAAAUGGUAUGUAAUUUUUCUAUGGGUAAUUAACUUACUUGAUGAAAUUUAAUGAGGCAAAGUGAUUUAAUAUGACUAAAAAGUGGUUUAAGAUACAAAACUGUUAAAUGUGAAAACAUAAUGAAUAUUUUAAAACAAAAAAGAAUUCGGAACUCAUCUAUAUAUUAAUGAUGCAAAAACUUUAUACGCAUUUUUACGAAAAUUGCGCGGACGUAGGAGCAUAAAAUUUGGUACACUUAUAGUUAAUGUGUAGGAGAAGUGCGGAACGCUAUUAUUUUUCAAAAAUAAUGCUUAUAAAAUACAUUAAAUUAAUAAAUAAAACAUUACACACACAUACAUAGUAUCUGAUCGUAUUUGACAAAACGUCAAAAUUGAUAGACAUUGCGAUGAUAUUCUCACGUCUUAUAUGAAUAGAGUUUUAUAAAAGAGUUUGUUUGAGUUUGAGUUAAAUAAAAAUUAUCCUUGAACGUAUGUUAAAUUGUAAAUUAAAUCGUAUAUGGUCGAAUUUCGGCCACUAGGCGACCACUAGUUUCUAUAAUAAUACCAAAAUCUACAAAACACUGACCAUUUCUGAUUUAAAAAAUCAGUUCAAUAAUACUUUUUUUACUGUUCAUAAAAUUUAUCAAAAUCUAAUAAAAAUUUCAAAUCUCAAUAAAAAUACAUUCAUUGCGAACUCAAUUUCUGGUUUAAAAUAUUACAUAAACUCUAAGAAAUUACAAAAUUUUAAUAUUCCUACUUUACUGUUGUUCUAAUUACUGACAGAAAUAAAUUAAUACAUUCGUUCAUUAAUGCAUUUUAUUAUGCAUAUGUAAAAUUUUAAUUGUAUUUCUGAUUCUUAUAAAAACAAAAAAAAAAACUAACCUAUAUCGACCUUCAUAAUAUCACAACAGUCUAUCAGAUUAUCAAAAAGUAAUUCUUUAUCUUCCAUUCAUCAUACCAUUUUCAUUACUAAACUACAUUUUUUCUAUUACUUAAUACCGAUUACUAUAUCUGGAUAUCGAUUAAACAAGAAAACAUUCAAAAAUCGGUUCGAACAUCUAAAUCAAUAUUCAUUUAAUAUUGUCAACCUCUCUAUUAUACCUAUCUUGUAUCGAACUACUGUUUAAAUUUUAAAUAUCAACAAGGUUAUUCUCUCAAUGUUUCCUCUCUAAAAUAUUUGUAUCCUGUAGUAGAGCUUUGUAGCAGCUGACGCAAAAUAAACAUCGAUCGUUUCCCGAUAUCGAUUUCAACAAACACAAAAAUCGAUACACAAUCAAUAGACAAACGUUUACUUUCAUUACUUUAAAACCAUAGACAACAUAGACUGUUCUAUUUUUAAAACUGACAGAUGUGGAUUGUUUACUAUUGUCAAAUUAGUUUUUGUUGUCAAUUUGAACGUCAGCUGCUAUUUAAAAUAAAUGUACCUAAUAGCUUUAAGUUAAAUAGAAUUAGAUUUAACCUUUUAAUAUACAGGGUAAAUGCAAAAGUAACUUUAAUGCGAAAUACCAAAUUAAUUAAACUUUUCAAUCAAUAAAAAACAUAAUAUUAUUAAUAAAAA